UACGUAGUAUGCAAGCGUUGUCCGGAUUUAUUGGGUUUAAAGGGUGCGUAGGCGGCCUAUUAAGUUAGUGGUGAAAACGUUCGGCUUAACCGGAUACCCGCCAUUGAUACUGAUAGACUUGAGUGCGACAGAGGGUGUUGGAAUGUGUGGUGUAGCGGUGAGAUGCUUAGAUAUCACGCAGAACACCAAUUGCGAAGGCAGAUGCCUAUGUCGUAACUGGCGCUGAGGCACGAAAGCGUGGGGAGCAAACAGG
rnacentral:rRNA from 1 species